UGGGGAAUUUUGGACAAUGGGCGCAAGCCUGAUCCAGCCAUUCCGCGUGCAGGAUGAAGGCCCUCGGGUUGUAAACUGCUUUUGUACAGAACGAAAAGGUUUCUACUAAUACUAGGAGCUCAUGACGGUACUGUAAGACUAAGCACCGGCUAAUUACGUG
rnacentral:rRNA from 1 species